rnacentral:miRNA from 1 species
UUUGAACUUGUAAGAAAUGG